CACUCUUUUACUGUUCCUUCACUCAGUCCUUCCAAUAACAAUCUCUCCCGUAGCUUAUCGGUCGAAACGGUAAUGUCUAUCGCAGGUGCAAAAUCAUUGCUUGUCAAAGCCCGAGGAAACAUAUCUUUAGAAGAAAUCAAGGCAUCAAUCCAAGCACUGCGGUCCUCUCUAGAAUCACACCGUAAGUGAAGAGUCUUGGUGCCCGAAAAGAUAUACAGCCUCUUGUCAUCUGACUUGCUUGCGCGAACUGAAGAAACCUUCAAAUGUAUCUCCCCGAAAGGCUUCCACUGCUUAGCCG
rnacentral:misc_RNA from 1 species